rnacentral:rRNA from 1 species
GACGAACGCUGGCGGCGUGCCUAAUACAUGCAAGUAGAACGCUGAAGGAGGAGCUUGCUUCUCCGGAUGAGUUGCGAACGGGUGAGUAACGCGUAGGUAACCUGCCUGGUAGCGGGGGAUAACUAUUGGAAACGAUAGCUAAUACCGCAUAAUAGUAGAUGUUGCAUGACAUUUGCUUAAAAGGUGCAAUUGCAUCACUACCAGAUGGACCUGCGUUGUAUUAGCUAGUUGGUGGGGUAACGGCUCACCAAGGCGACGAUACAUAGCCGACCUGAGAGGGUGAUCGGCCACACUGGGACUGAGACACGGCCCAGACUCCUACGGGAGGCAGCAGUAGGGAAUCUUCGGCAAUGGACGGAAGUCUGACCGAGCAACGCCGCGUGAGUGAAGAAGGUUUUCGGAUCGUAAAGCUCUGUUGUAAGAGAAGAACGAGUGUGAGAGUGGAAAGUUCACACUGUGACGGUAUCUUACCAGAAAGGGACGGCUAACUACGUGCCAGCAGCCGCGGUAAUACGUAGGUCCCGAGCGUUGUCCGGAUUUAUUGGGCGUAAAGCGAGCGCAGGCGGUUAGAUAAAGUCUGAAGUUAAAGGCUGUGGCUUAACCAUAGUACGCUUUGGAAACUGUUUAACUUGAGUGCAAGAGGGGGACAGUGGAAUUCCAUGUGUAACGGUGAAAUGCGUAGAUAUAUGGAGGAAACCGGUGGCAAAAACAUCCUCU